rnacentral:rRNA from 1 species
GCAUGGCCCAUGGAAGAAAAGGUGGCCUCUACCUGUAAGCUAUCGCCUGAAGAGGGGUUUGCGUCUGAUUAGCUGGUUGGAGGGGUAACGGCCCACCAAGGCGACGAUCAGUAGCCGGUCUGAGAGGAUGAACGGCCACACUGGAACUGAGACACGGUCCAGACUCCUACGGGAGGCAGCAGUGGGGAAUCUUCCGCAAUGGGCGAAAGCCUGACGGAGCAACGCCGCGUGAGUGAUGACGGCCUUCGGGUUGUAAAACUCUGUGAUCCGGGAUGAAAAGGCAGAGUGCGAAGAACAAACUGCAUUGACGGUACCGGAAAAGCAAGCCACGGCUAACUACGUGCCAGCAGCCGCGGUAAUACGUAGGUGGCAAGCGCCGUCCGGAAUUAUUGGGCGUAAAGCGCGCGCAGGCGGCUUCCCAAGUCCCUCUUAAAAGUGCGGGGCUUAACCCCGUGAUGGGAAGGAAACUGGGAAGCUGGAGUAUCGGAGAGGAAAGUGGAAUUCCUAGUGUAGCGGUGAAAUGCGUAGAGAUUAGGAAGAACACCGGUGGCGAAGGCGACUUUCUGGACGAAAACUGACGCUGAGGCGCGAAAGCGUGGGGAGCAAACAGGAUUAGAUACCCUGGUAGUCCACGCCGUAAACGAUGGAUACUAGGUG